rnacentral:rRNA from 1 species
GUGGGGAAUAUUGGACAAUGGGCGAAAGCCUGAUCCAGCCAUGCCGCGUGUGUGAAGAAGGUCUUCGGAUUGUAAAGCACUUUAAGUUGGGAGGAAGGGCAGUAAGUUAAUACCUUGCUGUUUUGACGUUACCAACAGAAUAAGCACCGGCUAACUUCGUGCCAGCAGCCGCGGUAAUACGAAGGGUGCAAGCGUUAAUCAGAAUUACUGGGCGUAAAGCGCGCGUAGGUGGUUUUGUAAGUUGGAGGUGAAAUCCCCGGGCUCAACCUGGGAACUGCCUCCAAAACUGCAUGACUAGAGUACGGUAGAGGGUAGUGGAAUUUCCUGUGUAGCGGUGAAAUGCGUAGAUAUAGGAAGGAACACCAGUGGCGAAGGCGACUACCUGGACUGAUACUGACACUGAGGUGCGAAAGCGUGGGGAGCAAACAGGAUUAGAUACCCGAGUAGUCC